AGGGCAGAGCCGGGGCGGGCCGACCCCCGCCACCGCCGAAGUUUCCCCGGGAGCCGCCGGGAAAGUUGCGUCUGGCAGCGAGCGCAACUUUGCGCGCCGGCCCCGCCGCCGCCGCCCGCAGCAUCCCCGCGGCGCGGCCCGGCCCCGUUCAAACUUGGCGGCCGCCGCUCCGAGCGGGCCGGCGGAUCAAUGCGGCUGCGGCCAGCCGCGCUGGGAGCCGGGCUACAGGUUUCACCAGCCAUCGCUGGCAACAGCUUUGUCAUUUUCUAAAAAUAAGAAGCUAAAAGUUAUUGUAGAAGAAGGGGCUUUUUUUGUCCCCCGCACAAUGUGCCUUUUGUGAGUUUAAUGCCAUUCUGGGGCUCUCUAUAGCCCCGGACAAUGGGGAACUCCAGGAGGCGGCUGUGCCUCUGCCUUUUUUCUUUCUUGCUUUCUCUUUUCUCCCCCCUACCCCCCUCCUCUUUUUCCCCCUUUUUUCUUUUUCUUUUCUUUUUUUCUUUUUUUUUUUUUUUUUAGGAAAGGAUACAACAUUCCUCCAGUCCCACCAGAACCUCUGCUUUGAUUAAAUAAAUAUUUCUCUAGCCUAACGGUAACGUUUUUCAUUUUCUGCUCGGGUCCAUGUCCGAUUAUUAUUUAAAAUUUUUAUUUCCAGGAGCUUCUCCCUCCCCAUUCCAGCCCUAGUGAGAAAUGUUGAUGAUCGCUGGGAACGUGGGAUUUGAAUUUCAGGAGGAGGUGAACCAGUAAGGAACCUCUGUCCAGGCUUCAGGAAUAUGGUUUUUUCAUCCUUCUAAAAGAAGCUAUUUUUAUUACUAUCAGAAAUGCAUCUAAAUUAAAUCAUGUCUUGAAAAUCUAAAGAAGCUUUUUUUUUUUUUUUUGCCUUUUUUUGCCUUUUUUUUUUUCCUUUUCUAUUUUUUUUUUCUUUUCAUAAUAACCCAAAUAAUUAUCUUCCCGGUUUGUUUCAUAGCUCUGAACAAGGAAUGCAGUUGCGGUCAGUUUUUCCAUUUGGGAGAACCUUAAUGUAGAUGUAUUUUAUACGGCAAGGUAAUAAACUGCAUGUUUGUUAGUACCUAUUAUAAUGAAAUGUCUUGAGCUUUCCCUAUUUCUUAACGUGGGGGUUGACAUUUGGAAUUUUGACAAGUCCCUUUAAGUGGGAUGGGGGUGAAGGAAGAGGACGGGUGAUUAGGAAUUUGACUGUACUGUUGAUGCAUUGCUGGAAGUGUCUUGCGUUUGGGAGAAAGUCGCAGGUUUUAAGACUCAGGGUUCGAGAGGUGCCACGGUUCUGUGGAUGUUGUACCUGCAGCCCUGGUGUGCCCGGUGACCCGGGCAUGCUGUGCGUGAGUCCUGGUGGUUGGAUUGACUCUAGAGGGGGACCAGUUUGCCUUUAAAAGCUGCCCUUAAAAAUCAGUCCCUGCUUGAUACAUGUCUGUCUGGUUUUAUGGAAGAAUAAUUGUUAAUGUACUCACUUUCAAAAAACCCCAAACCUUAAAAAAAAAAAAGGAAACACAAAAAAAAACCCCCAAAAACAAAAAAAAAAAAAAAAAAAACCCCCAAACUACCACAAAAAACAAAAAAAAAAGCCAACCCAAAAAACCAACCAACCCCCAAACCAGGGAGCCCUGGAGGAAUCAGAAUUUUUCGGGCUGCUUGGUGCACUGCUUGGGAAGGUGCAUAUAAUUUGUAGCUGUCGUUCUUGCUGAACGUGAACCAAACGUGGGUUGAGGAAGAAGUUGAGGCAAGAAUAAAGUAACCCUUGCCUUUAGCACUUGGGAUAACUCAGAAGUACCUCUUUUCCCCUGAGGCUGUGGAUCUGGUGGCCCAGGGUGCGGAUGCUGCCUGUGACCACACUUUUUGCAGAGCAAAGCAAAAGGAAAUGUGUCGGGAAGUUGGGGAGCAAAGAAGUGACUGUGGAUGCUCCAGAAAUAGGCACCUCCACAGGGACGUGUGCGGGCGCGGGCUGGAGCCAUGGAUGUUGUCUCCGCGCUUGCAUCGUGAAUUCUAGCUGUGUGCCGCUGUCCUCUAAUUUCCCAUGACAACAUAUGGAUCCCAUAAAGGCAAACAUGCCGAAGUGCAUCUGUCUGGGUAGUUAACACAAACCAAACAUCCCCUGCUCGGAGAUCCCGCUGCUCCUCUGGCCGUGCUGCGCGGAGCCCUCCUGCGACAGCCCCCUCGGUGCUCCGUCUUCUCCGUCACGCUCCCGGGACGAGCCCGAGUGCCCCGAAAGGGAGGAGGGCAGCAGGCGCCAGGUCAGAGGAGCGGAGGGGUUAAGCGGGGAGAGGGGCGUGCGCCCUGCGCCCCCCCCCACCCUCCUGGGAGCUGGUCCUGCCCGAGCAGGCUCUGCCCUGGGGUCAAGUCCUAGGACAUCUUCCCUCCCCUCCUGGCAAGGCAGCAGCUCAGGCUGGGAAGGGAAACAGCAGAUGAGCAGAGGGCAGAGGUUUACCCCUCAUCCUGGAGACAGACGUCUGGGGGCUGGGGAAUGAGAGAGUUCCCAGUUUUCCAGGUUGCAAAAAGAGGUGAUGAGGGGAGGCUGUGUGUGAAAAGAAGGGAAGGAACAAGUAACGGCUGCAGGACCAGCGGAUAAACCACUACGCAAAGACUGAAAUGCAGCCAAGGAAUUAAGGGAUAAUUCAUACAGAAAUCGUUAGGUAUGAUUACAUGUAUGUGCAUGUGUGUCUCCUCUAAAAAAUUUACUUCCCGUAAGAUUUCUUUGUUCUAGGCAAAAAGACAAUCUGAAUGCUAAAAUAUAAAAAGGGGCUUCCCUUACUUUGAUUAGAAAUUUUGAUACAGCCUCAUCUGCAAUCGUGCGGAUGCCUCUUGUUUCUAUAUGUGUAUCUCUGCAUACGCAUAGAUGGGAUUUUGGGUUCAAAUAGCUUUUAAUGUGCUUAGUAGAAAGAAGCUCUUAGUAUCAGAUCUGCAGGGAAAAUAAGACUGAUUUUUCUCAUAGGAAACUUGGUAAAGACACAGCUGAAUUAUUAGAUUAACCUAUUUUUUUGUCUCAUGCCAUAUCUGAUGUAUUUGCGCAAAGAAUUGUAUCAUUUCAUUUCUAUGUUAUUUUGAACAGAUGGAACAAAUAGCGGUGCUUUAAAGGGACGUUAUUAUUUGUAGAAAUAUAUACAAAUUAAGAGGAACAACUUUGAAGCAAAAUGUUUUUCCGAGGCAGCAAAUAUGGCUUUCUGUACAGGACUCUCCGCAAGAAUAGUUGUUAUCUUUAACAUGUAAAAUGGGGGUGAGCAGCUCCAGUUCCCUGGGUUCUGCAGGGAGAUCAGGUCCUCCCCUGGAGACAUGACCUGGCUGCCAGGGGCUCGGGAGGCAGGGGUGGGCCGCAUUUGCAUAAGGCUGUGGUGACAGCACUGGACUCGGGUGAAUUUUUAGGGAUCCCACAAGCGUAUCCCGUUGCUCGCCGCCCAGCACAGGGGGACUGGGCCAAGGCUCUGCGGUGCCAGAGGCUGACGAGGCACAAAAGGCUGAUGUAUGGGGAGAGCUAAAAAAAAAGUUCCAGGCUAUCUUUUAAAAUUCAGGCUUUAAAAAUUAUUGUUGGGAGGGGGGAGGUCCAGCUUAGAAAAAGUCUCCAUAAUAUCAUCCACUUUCAUAGCUCUGUGCUUCUUGGAAAUGUGUCUGAAGAAUCAGAACAAAGCAUGGAAGGCUAGAGUCCUUGAAGGAGCUCCAAAUGAUAAAGUCUGCCAUUCAUUUUAAACACUGCGUGCAUUGUGGAAACACGGGUCAAUUUGAAGGCAUUUGUCAGAUUUCCAGUUCCCUCUGCUCCUUUGCAAUGGAAAUUUGCAAUCAAAUCCCUGUGCUGGAGUUAGGAUGUCUGCCUUGAUCAGUUUGUAUGACUCUAUGCCCAAAGCAUUGGCCAGGCCAUAACAUGAGUGGAUGUGUUUGCCAUGGAAAUAAACACUUGGAAUACAGCUAUAUGUUUCUUGGCUUUUUGAGAGAAAUGAAGAAAAAAGUCUUGGCAUUUAAUUAGAAGUCACUAACCUGAUAAAUAUUGAACAUCAUUUCUUUGUGAGCGGCUCCAUGUGCUCAGAGCACUCUAUGGAUGUAUUCCACAAUUGCACUUAUUUAAUGCCUCUAUCACCUCAUGCCUAUUGUAUUUAUGUUGUCAUCAAUGUCAGAUUUUAAUUAAACAAUUAAAUCACUGUCA